CUUCAUGCUGCCUAUUGGAGCAGCCUCCCAGCUCCUACUUGUGUGCAAGCAGGAGCAGGGCAGGGGUCUCUCAGUUAGGCAACGGCAAGCCUCCCUUCCCAGCUGAGGGAUCCCAACCCCCUCCUGCUUGCACGCAAGUAGGAAUGGGAUUGGGGCUGCUCCAAUAGGCAGUGGAAG